rnacentral:sRNA from 1 species
GCGGGCUGUCCGGCCCGCAGGGCGGUCGAGGUGGGAACGGAGCAGCCCCGGGGGCCCCCUUGAGGCGUUGAGGCCGCGAAGGGCGCGGGGCUGGAGGCCCGCGGCGCCAUGGCUCACGUCGGCUCCCGCAAGCGCUCGAGGAGUCGCAGCCGGUCCCGGGGACGGGGGUCGGAAAAGAGAAAGAAGAAGAGCAGGAAGGACGCCUCGAGGAACUGCUCGGCCUCCACAUCCCAAGGUCGCAAGGCCAGCACGGCCCCUGGGGCGGAGGGUGAGGACCACAGGCAUCGGGGAGAGGAGGCGCAGUUACUCCCCGGGGAAGUCGGGCGAGCAGUGGUCGGGGACGCUCAGUCAUGCCUCUGUGCAGCCGGGCCUGAGAUGUGAGGGCCAGGCGCCGCAGGAGCCAGGAAGGGGCUCCUCUGGGAAGCUCCAUCUCUGUUCUGGAAAGCUCCUCAGGAAGCGCUCACCCUGUAGACGGUCUGUGCCUGCCCCAGGCCAGAGCAGGGGACGAAGGUUUACCUCUUCCCCUCCUGGCCUUCCAGCCUCACCUUCUCCCUGCAUCACAGAGAGAAGCAAGCAGAAGGCCCGGAGGAGACCAAGAUCCAGCUCCUCCUCCUCUUCUUCCAGUUCUCCUAGCUCCUCUUCUUCCUCCUCGUCCUCCUCCUCUUCCUCCAGUGAUGGCCGGAAGAAGCGGGGGAAGUAUAAGGACAAGAGGAGGAAGAAGAAGAAGAAGAGGAAGAAGCUGAAGAAGAAGAGCAAGGAGAAGGCGGAAGCACAGCAGGUGGAGGCUCUGCCGGGCCCCUCGCUGGACCAGUGGCACCGAUCAGCUGGGGAGGAAGAGGAUGGCCCAGGUAUUGUGCUGCCCAGCACCUGGGAGGGAGAAGGUCGCUUCCCAAGGCCUGGCCACCACCUCCGUCUUCCCUUCCAGUCCUGACGGAUGAGCAGAAGUCCCGAAUCCAGGCCAUGAAGCCCAUGACCAAGGAGGAGUGGGAUGCCCGGCAGAGCAUCAUCCGCAAGGUGGUGGACCCCGAGACGGGGCGCACCAGGUGGGGAGCUUUCGGCCUGACUUACACCACAGGAUCUGGGAGUGUUGGCUGAAGAUGUGUGCUCUCGGGAGGAGUGGGGCCGGGCGGGGUUCCUGGUGCCUGAAAAAGGCCAAAUGUGGGCAAAAAUAAGGUCACUUGGAGUAAGUAGUUGCAGGGGUGGAAGGGCCUGGAGGAGGCUCUUGAAAGGGCUGUUGUUGGCGGGGCUGAGGCUGGCAAGGCAGAGCCCAGCUCCACUGCCUUCAUCAGGGAGAGUGGGUGAGGCCCCAGGGUCUGUCCACUCAAGGCUGCGGGGCGGGAGCCCUGGGACCCCUCUGCCGGCUGCUUGUGGUUCUGCUCCUCUGGCAUUAGGGGACCUGCCUAUUCCUUGCUGAACGGAGACCCUCCCACCCCCAGGCUUAUUAAGGGAGAUGGCGAGGUCCUAGAGGAAAUCGUAACCAAAGAACGACACAGAGAGAUCAACAAGGUGGGUGUGGCCCCUCUGCCUGCCAUCUGCCCCCAGCUCUGUUUGUGAUGUACCCCUCCUCCUGUGUGCUUUCUUCCCCAGCAAGCCACCCGAGGGGACGGCCUGGCCUUCCAGAUGCGAGCUGGGUUGCUUCCCUGAGGGCCCCCGCUGGCCAAGGCCUGUGGACGGCGCUGGCGGCCCAGCCUGGGCAGGUUUCAGGGUGCCAGUGGGAAGCCUGAUGGGUGCUGGUGGCCUUUCCCCCAUGGAUUGGUCUCUGGCCCAGCCCAGUCUCUUCUUAGGGGCAGGGGGUGGAGGUUGGGGUCACCGGCCUGCUUGGCACCCCCAUCUGAAAGAGCAGCACUUCUCAGCUAUU